GAGUUUGAUCGUGGCUCAGAUUGAACGCUGGCGGCAUGCCUUACACAUGCAAGUCGAACGGCAGCACGGGAGCUUGCUCCUGGUGGCGAGUGGCGAACGGGUGAGUAAUGCAUCGGAACGUAUCCUGGAGUGGGGGAUAACGUAGCGAAAGUUACGCUAAUACCGCAUAUUCUGUGAGCAGGAAAGCGGGGGACCUUCGGGCCUCGCGCUCUUGGAGCGGCCGAUGUCGGAUUAGCUAGUUGGUGAGGUAAAGGCUCACCAAGGCGACGAUCCGUAGCAGGUCUGAGAGGAUGAUCUGCCACACUGGAACUGAGACACGGUCCAGACUCCUACGGGAGGCAGCAGUGGGGAAUUUUGGACAAUGGGGGCAACCCUGAUCCAGCCAUGCCGCGUGAGUGGAGAAGGCCUCGGUU
rnacentral:rRNA from 1 species